CACCAAACCAUGCCACGCCCAGCAAGCCACACCCCCAGAACCGGUAGUAAAAUUUUGAAUCUCACCACUCUUAGGGCAUCUUUGGAUACUGUUGAUUUCCACGGAGUCUCUGAUAAUUUCUUCAGCGGAUCCCAAAUUAAUUAUAUGAAAGCAGUUAAUACUAAGACAGCUGAGUGGUUUGGCCGCCUUUUAGAAAGUAUUCCCAGUUUCCAGAGUGAGGUGUGGGAGGAGUAACAGAUGGGUAUUAACCCAGCCCCUUUGCCCUGGAGUCUUUUGAAGCCACGCCUCUGAUCCUCCUCUCGCUCUCCCAGAUUAACCUCAGACUCCAGCCCAGAAGGAGUGUUUCCUGACUCUCCCGCACUUUGGAAAUCUAGAUGUUUUUUAGUGUAAGUUUUUUCCUUUAGCAAUCUUUCUCUCACCAAGAAGCUUCCAGCGCUGCAUCUCUCCUCCAACGUGCUCAGCGCUACUAGCGAAGGCCUUGCUGCCCGGCUAGCACGCGCGCGCUCCCCAAGUGGCCGGACGGUCGUGUAAAAGAGGAGGAAGCCUCCACACCGAUCGGAGUGCGUGGAGAGGCCUUCGGACUGCAGCCGGCUGAUCAGGCUCCGGAGGACCAGGGAUCCACAGGGGAUUGCCCCACCGCUCUCCAGCUUCAGGCAAGCUCGGGUCGCAGGCUGACGGCCGCCAUUUUGAAAGGAGCACGUGGCUGAGCGCAUGACCGGCAAUCAUCUACGGUAGCCGGGAGCGCUCAAGAGGCACUGAGGAGGCCGGAAGAGGCCUAGAGCGGCCCCCACUCUGCCGGUGGUUCCGCAGAGGGGCCUGAUUUUCAGUGCAGGCCGGUGCUCGAGCCGUGGAUCGGCGGCUGGAAGAAGAAGCAGCUGAGCUGGCAGAUACCGAGGAGAGAUGAGCGGGAAAAAGAGCACUCCAGCUCCCGGAGGUGGACAACCCGAUCGCCACUCUAGCCUCAGCCUCAUCCGCGGUGACGGGAGACAUUGCAAACUGCCUUAAGCCAGAGAAUAAGAAGACGGAAACUGUGAUACGUAAAACAUUCCAGGCAAUAACCUGGGCCAUUAGGGCGGCCGCUUCUGCUUCCUUUUUUAACAGAUCCACGGUGUUGUGGCUGGAACAGCUGAGAGACAGAACACCAGCCACGGAGGUGCGGCUGCUGCAAGCCAUUUCGAAGGUGCUGGCAGCCACACAAUUCUCUGCGGACGCCACCCUGGAUGCAGUUAAGUAUGUGUCCCGAGCCUUAUCUUCCUCCGUAGCGUCCAGGCGCUUACUGUGGUUGCGCCACUGGCAGGCAGAGUCCCGAGCCAAAUGGCACCUUGCAGGAGCAGAUUAUGUCAGGGACAAGCUGUUCGGUGCCUUGCUGGACCCGCUUCUGGUGGAGUACAAAAACAAGAAGAAGGUUCUCCUAGCCACGACCAGACGGUCGGAUAACUGACACGCCCCCUACCCCAGGAGAACAUCCUUCCGCCAGCCUGAUUCGGACGCUCAGACUUACAGGUACCAGUCCCCCAGGUUCCACAGACAGGGGGACAGACAGUUUUUUAGGGACAGAUUCAGGGGCCAGCAGCAGGGCAAGCAGCCCUUUCGAGGAGGAGGCGGUCGCCCAUUCCGCAGGUUCAAGUGAUCCAACCCCAUUGGUGAUCGCCUCUCCCUUUUCGCGGAUGCCUGGGAACGCAUCACCUCUGACGAGUGGGUCCUCCAGACGGUUAAGCUCGGGUUACACCUGGAGUUCCGCUCGCAAUCCCCUAACAGGUUCUGCACCUUCGCCUCCUCUGCUGACCUGGCCAAACGGGCCAUUAAGACUAGGGCCAUCAAACAUCUUCUGGAUAUCAAGGCCAUUGAAGAAGUCCCAGAGGGGGAGAGAGCUUCCGGAUUCUAUUCUAACCUGUUUCUGGUUCCCAAGAGCUCAGGAGGGUGGAGAGCUAUCCUGGAUCUUAAACAACUCAAUUCCAGGGUAGUCGACCGUAUAUUCAAGAUGGCUUCCUUGAAAUCCAUCUUGGAAGGCAUCCGACAGGGCGACUUCAUGGUUUCCAUCGACCUUACGGAGGCCUACCUCCACAUCAGAAUCGCCCCAGAACAUCACAGGUUCCUUAGGUUCUCCCAUGAGGAAAAUCACUUCCAAUAUAGGGCCCUUCCCUUCGGGCUGGCCUCGGCCUCCAGGACCUUUACCAAGUUGUUGGCUGCAGCCGCAGGUCACCUGCGUUCCCUACCAGUCAGUCUAUUUUGCUAUCUAGAUGACAUCCUAGUCCUAGCCAGGUCCCCAGCCACGGCCAGACAGGAUCUGGGGACCACCAUUGACACCCUCAGGUCCCUGGGGUUCUCUAUCAACCUAGAGAAGAGCCAGCUGGUCCCAUCUACCCGGCUCCAACACCUCGGAUCUAUUAUAGAUUCGGUGUCUGGGGAGGUGUUCCUUCCCCAGGAGCGAAAGGACAGUAUUGUGUAGCUGAUUCAUGAAGUUCGUAAAUUACGCUCUGUCCCUGUAGUUCUUCUUUCCAGGCUCCUUGGGAAAUUCAUUUCUUGUAUAGGGAUCGUGCCUUGGGCUCGCCUACACGCCAGGGAGCUGCAGUGGUUCCUGCUUCCAUACCAGAAGGCGGGGACGAGCGACGCCAGAUUCAAGAUCCAAGUGUCGCCCCAGGUGCUGCUCUCAUUCCGUUGGUGGCUGACUCCAGCACUGAGCAAGGGAUCCCUCUUCAAGGAGCCAGCGAGGAAGGUACUCACGACGGACGCGAGCCUGUUCGGCUGGGGAGCACACUUGGAAGCUCAGAUAGCCCAGGGACGCUGGACUCCAACAGAUCUGCACAACAACAUCAACUGGUUGGAGCUCAGAGCCAUCCACUUGGCCCUACGACACUUCAAGACCACGGUCACCGGUCAUCACAUCCUGGUCCUGACGGACAACAUGACAGCCAAAGCCCACGUGAACAGGCAAGGGGGCACCCACUCCAAGGCCCUUCACGACGAGGCCCUCCGGUUAGGCAACUGGGCAGAGAGACAUCGCCAGUCCAUCAGAGCGGAACACAUCCCCGGGACGGAGAACCAGCAAGCAGAUUGGCUCAACAGGGAGACGAUCAACAACGGAGAGUGGCAGCUCCAUCCCAGCAUCUUCCAGCGGAUCUGCGAAAGGUUCGGACAACUGACGGUGGAUCUCUUCGCAACUCCAGCGAAUGCCCAGCUGCCGAACUUCGUAGCGAGGUUCCCCUCCAGAGGAGCCAUGGACACGGACGCCCUCCGCUGCAGAUGGCCACCAGAACUACUUUACGCCUUUCCCCCCCUUCCCCUCAUUCCCGGGGUUCUGAGGAGGCUCGUGUCAGAAGAGGCAGAGAUGAUUCUAGUGGCUCUACAUCAGGGGUCUCUGGAGCAUCCGGAUCCGGAGUGGCUCCAUCUGACUGCCUGGCGAUUGAGCGGGAACAGCUAAGAGAGGCCCAAUUUUCCUCCAAGGUCAUUAGGACCAUCGAGGCUUCCAGGAGGCAAUCUGCCACCCGCAUUUACAACGCCUCCUGGGUGGCUUUUGCUGACUGGUGCAAAACAAGGGACAUUCAACCUGCCUCGGCCUCAGUACCUCAGGCCCUGGACUUCCUAUAGGAAGGUCUGGAGAAGGCCUCGCCCCCAGCACUCUUAGGAAACAGGUCUCGGCCAUUUCCACCAUUCUGCGGGGGGUGGACGCUCCACCCUUAUCCCAACAUCCGAUCCUCAGGCGCUUCCUCAAGGGAGC